rnacentral:rRNA from 1 species
AAUAUUGGACAAUGGGCGAAAGCCUGACGGAGCAACGCCGCGUGAGCGAAGAAGGCCUUCGGGUCGUAAAGCUCUGUCAAACAGGAAGAAGAACCAUGAGAGGGAAUGCUCAUGGAGUGACAGUACUGUAAGAGGAAGCCCCGGCUAACUACGUGCCAGCAGCCGCGGUAAUACGUAGGGGGCAAGCGUUGUCCGGAAUUAUUGGGCGUAAAGCGCGCGCAGGCGGUCUGGAAAGUCGGAUGUGAAACCUCGGGGCUCACCCCCGAGCCUGCAUACGAAACUUCCAGACUUGAGAGUAAGAGAGGGGAGUGGAAUUCCUAGUGUAGCGGUGAAAUGCGUAGAUAUUAGGAGGAACACCAGUGGCGAAGGCGACUCCCUGGCUUACCACUGACGCUGAGGCGCGAAAGCGUGGGUAGCGAACAGG